GAAGCACGUAGGUAAUUUGCCUUAAAGUUGCGUGACGUGUAAACCUGCCCUGUAAAUAUUUUGCGGGUGAAAAGUUUAUUUGAUUCUUAGUUCAGUCAUCCGUUCUGUUUUGUACUUUUUUUCUUUCUUUUUUUUUUUUUAUGGGAAAUGGUAACGAUGUUGAUGGAUUAAUAUCCUUUAUCGACACUUUUUGGAUUAAUUCUUUACGCUGUGGAGGAACAAAAUGUUCAGCGUUUCCAUAGCAACUUGAAGAAGCUCAAAGAUCAAGUGGAUUACUUCAGAAACCUUUUUGAAGAAUUGGAGCCUACAGGAAUGAUAAAUUUGCGAAUUAAUUGAAUAUUUGGUUAGCACCCACAAAAAAAUAAACGUUCCCUAGAAAGAUAUACUCACCAAUUUGAUGCCUUGAGCAAGAAAACUUUCUUCAGUCAUCUUCUUCUUUUGACUGUGCUAAAAUUUUUCCUAAAAAUGAAAAGUAUUGGUCAGCGGCUAUGUGAAAUAAAGGGUCAAGUUAACCCUUCUUAACCUGUUUGUCUGUCCGGCGUACACACCAACAUAGCUUGAGUAAGCUCCCUGUUCCCACUCAGGAUUCCAGUAAUGUUCCCCAUAUCAGAAACAGUAGUCCUGACAAGAUGUUCCUAAAACAUUUAUGGAGUUAUUGACAGUGGCUGUUACAUUUUUCAAGCGUUUCAUUUUGAAAACGUUUUAGUAAAAUUCAAUAUAACUGUUCUAAAGUGGUUUAUUAGAGCUCUCCCAAGGAAAUGAAAAUCCAAAUAUGGAGCUUAAAAAGAAACGUCCAACGAAAAAUGAUAUGCAGAUUGAGAUGACAGCUUACAAAUUUAUUUCAUGCCUUUCUUCUGAGGAAUUUUCUCUCCGCAGAUAGGAAAUUCUGCCUAUAUAAUCAACUUUCACAUUGGAAUUUGAAGGCAGUCAUUAUUUGAUCAAAUAACGUUCCAAAAAUUAACUCCCGAAACUGCAUUGCCGUUUAUUUUGUUAUCUGUAGAAUUCUGCCUUUCUUUUUUAAUUAAAAUGUAUAUUUAAUUCCUAAAAGGGAGUUCGACUUUUUGAAUUUCCAAAUUAAAUUUCUAAAUCUUGAA